UCUCACCUGCGCAGCACAGCAGGAGGCUCCCGAGCAGCGCGGCCAGCGGCGGCAGCUCCAUGGCGGGGCAGUGGCGGUAGCGCCUCCGCGUCCUCCUCACAACACGGCAGCUCCCAACGGACACUCCCAGCAGGUAAAAUGGCAAAGUUCAUCUCAUGUCAAGGAAAUGAAGUCUCUUUUCUAUGCUGGAGGCUUGGUGCUUCAGGAAGAACACAGGUCAUAGAACAGCCAUAAAACAGCAAUAUCUUGGUCACUAAUCAGUCUGGACUGGAAACCAAGCACUCAGAUACCCCACUAAUGGACAUGGGAUAAGAACCUGAACAGAAUGAGAUAUAGAGAUGAAAAACUUCAUACCAAUUACCAAAUUCCUGAGCCAGUUAGUUCCUGUGAGGAUGAGCGUCUGUGGAAAAAGCAUAUUUCCUCUUUCUACCUUUUGUUUCUUUGCCUGAUUUAUUGUGACAAUUGCAAGGAAGAGAUAAUUUUCUAUUUGUAUUAGAGUUCCUCAGUUUUCUUUUAUAGUAACCUUGCAUAGUGACAUAGUACAUUAUCUUACAUAUGUCUUUCUUUUUCUGGAGUCCCACUGAAGUGUCAUAGACUAGAUAAUACUGUAAGCAGUAUAUUUUUCUAACAGUGGUUCAAUUUUUUUUAUAAUCAGGAGUGAGAUGGAGUUCCCUUCUGCAUACCCUGUGGAUAUUUGGCCUGGGCCCUUACCCCCCAGAUCAUAAAAAUCAGUAUUGGCACCAACAGUGGAGAUUAUGAGUAGCAUCAGCAUGAGUGACUCUUAGGACACAGUUCAAUUUCCUAUAAAUUCAGGACUUCAUUCAUUGAAGUGCUGAGCAUCCACAAAUCCUUUGGCUUCAACUGGAGUUUUAGGUGCUCCGUAACUCUGGAAAAUAAAAUCCUCAACUCAUCCACUAUCCAUUCUGGUGGUAGUGAUCUCCUUCUGUCAGAAUGCUGCAUAAAGUGUGUAUAAAGACUUGAGCUAUUCUCCAUGAUAUGGCCCCCAAAAAGGGAAUGUUCUGAUUCCUUUAAAAACAAAAAAACAAAAAAACAAAACAAAAAACAACUGUAAUCAAACCUCUCUUGCCAUGCAAAUAAAGAUGUACGGAAACCACACAUUCUUAAAAUAAAUCACAAUAAAAUUAUUAAAAACUAGAUCAGAUUAAAUGCAGUUGUCUCCAGCAUUGCCUAGGUCUUAAAUUAAAAAACAAAACAAAAAACCCUGAUGUUCGUUGUAUUACUAACUGUUUCCACUAAGGUGUGCUAGAUCUCCAAAUAUCAUCACCCACACCCUACUCUUCCAUUACUAAAUGUACUGUUUGUUAUAACCUCAACAAUGUCCACCAUUGUGUCUCAAAACUGCUAACCCUUUCAUGCAACCAUUUUAUACACAGCAUGUUUUCAUGCAAGAACAACAUAUUGUAGAGGAAAUCUGCUAAAACAAAAGGAUGAUUUCUCUAUUUUAAACUGGACAGGGUGAUUAGUUCCUGUCUGCAUCUACUUUCCUUUGUGAAGGAGUGACACGGAUAUUAGCUUUGAUUUCACAGAAAUGAUUGUGUAUGUUAUUCUAGGGGAAUUUGGAAAGCCUUAGCACUGUGAGAGAAGGGUUUUUCAUGCUGUUUUGACACUCAUCUGCUUCCAGGAUCCAUUGUGUGAUGUUGUACCAUCUCUAUUGCUGCCAGCACAAAUGUAAGCACCUUUUGCUUUUACAUCAGGAUGAUUCCUCCAUUUUUCAUAGAUAUAUAAUCCAAAAGGUUGCCCAGGCACACCUAUUGAUAUCUGAAAAACAGAGAACACAGUGGGGCAUUUUAAAAUAAGCUGUCUACUCAGGUCUAAAGGUUUAACAAAGAGAGGUCUGGGGACGGGUGAGGUUGAGAAGAUUUAGCUUCCUCCUGCCCCCCUUGCAAAUCCUGAAAACAUAUUACCUUUGAUUUUAAGAAGAGUUCAUUCUGUUUGAAGAGAAUAAUGACACAAUAAUUUCCACCCAACAGGUUAUCUCUUUAAAUUGAUAUCAGGUGAGGGCACACACUCUUCCAUCAUAAAGCUUGUGGUCUUCUAGUGUUAACAUAGGGAGUUUACCUCAGUGCCUAACCGAUUUUCAACCAGAUGCAGUGCUGCGAAAAAGACUAGUGUGCCUGUAAAAAACAGAAUUUUCAUAUCUAAUAAGCAAAUAAAAAGAUUUUUAGCAACAAGGUUGGAAGCUAAGAAGGGUUCAUUUAAUAGUAUAAAUAUCAAUAUCCUUUUUUGGGGGGGAGGAAUUGUUUCCCAUACCAUUUAGAGACAGAAUAUAUGCAUUUCCUCGAAACUCAGGGAAACAAGGUACAAAAGGACCACGGGCCAUAUCCUUGCCAUCAUUUAAGAUACUCUAUGCCAUUCUGGCAGCACAGAGUAAAUUUAAAAGGCUGGUUUAAUUGUCCAGAAGAAUUCCUGAGAAGUGCAGGGAUGGCAUCGCUGGUUCUGUGCUACUGCCUCCAUGUCCUAUAUCUCAGGGUAAGAGGUGUGCUUAUGGGGGGAAAAGGGGUAUGGUCAGACUAUCCUUUUAUUCAGAAAUUCAUCAGCUUUGUGGAACUGCCCGUUGUGGGCUGCUGCAUCCCCAAGUCUGCUCUAAGGUGAGGCCUGGUGUCUCAAAGACAAGGAAGCCAUAAACAGUAGAACUUGGGUGGGGAGAAUUAACAUGCACCUUUUUCCCCAUUCCCCUCCUGAGCUGAGUGCCAACGAGCCACUACUUAGGAUGUGGCCCUACUGGCACAAAUAACCACUCUUUGGUCAUCCAUCUAGGGCCUCCACCUGGAGACAGGCAUCCAUGGGAUUUUCAAACGGUGUUUAGCGGCCCACAAGCUGUCCAAGUACGUAGGGGCUGGAACACUCAGAGCAUGUGUCAAGGGCGUGGGCUGGGGAACAUGUGGUCAAACACCUGGCUGUUCCAGGUGAUCCACAAUUGGUAGUGUCAGAUGCUAACGUAAAAGCCCCUCAUUGGCUGUUUUCCAAUCUGUACCCUUAAAACAGACAGCACACCAAGAAAGGACUCCCAGAAAUGGAUCUGAGAGACGGCCAGUCAGACAUAUUUUGAAAUGGGGGAAGAGCUUCGACAUUAUGAUAUGCACUCUUAUAACCAUGAAGUUUUGAAAAUCGCCUGUCUGGCCAUCCAGCUGAAGUCUGAUCACACAGACAUCAUAAACAGCUAAACAUUUGACCUGGUUUUCAGGCAUCCUUGGAUGACCUAGCACUACUUUAAAAAUUCCUCUUUCUCAGAGCUGUCAACACUACCCGUGAAAAACCAUGUCUGGCCAUGCAGAACAGGCCCUUUAUAAAUUCACCUGCAUCCUUAUGAAAACCAUUAAAAGUGUAAAAAAAAAUACAAUUUUAAAGAUGUUUGAGCUUUUAAAAUUUUGUUUCUGGAUUUUGAGAGAAUGCUGAAAAGCCUUUUUUAAAAUGCUUGGAACCAAGGCUCUGGCUCAGCCCUCUUACAGCAACACCAGGAAACCACAAAGUUUAGGUUUGGAUCUCAGGUUUCCCAAAGGUCUAGAGUGAGCAGAUUGAGGAUUUUGGUUUGGAUCAAUGCAUGAUCAGAAUGUCAAUGUUUGACUUUGGCUUUUUUUUUAAAAUUGCCAAACACUCGGUUAAUUUAACUGUAUCUGUACCACUGACAGACUAUUAAACACCUUCCAUUUAAUUGUUAUAUAUAGAUUGACAAAAGCUCUUCUACAUAAUUUAGACCACACCUGUACAGUACACAGUGGAACAAAAAACAAUAAAUCUGCCUUUUUUUCCAAGGUAUAGUAGACAAAAGGUUAAUCCCUGUGAACAGUCAAUCCCCUUCCUUCCCUUGCACUCCACUCAUCCAUUCCCCCAAUGUUGCUCAAAACAAACAUCCAAAAAAGAGAAGGGCUUCUGGUUUUGUCAGGUCAUCUGGGAAAGUAGAUUCUAGAGCAAAGAAUGCCUCCAAGAGCAUGACCAUCAUGCUUAAAUCUGGAAAUUAUAAGCUCAAACACCCCAAAAAACCUUCAACUGCCAUGGCAGAUCACAAGGAGAGAUUAAAUCUCUUUUGAUUGUCACAGGCCAAGCUAAUACAGGGCUUUAUAAACCAAAGACAAUUGCUUCAAUUGCACUCAGAAGCACACAAGAAGCCAAUGAAGCUCAUUUAGAACUGGUGCAAUAUAUUCCCAUUAGCUAACACCACUCUACGAACAGUGAUUCAGAUGUCUACUUGUCUUCAAAUGUGACUUCAAGUAGAAUACGCUGCAGUAGUAAAAUGUAGACAUGACAAAUUGGUUUACUGUAGUGAGGGAAAGGCCAGAAAGAACAGGUCACAAAUGCCUACUGAGAUGGUGGUAGAAAAAGUGCACUUUGCUCCUGGAACCCUCGUUGCCAUUGGAAGCUAUCUAGGAUCCUAGAGUAUCCUCAGAUUUCUAACGAUUUGGGCAAAGGUUAGCCAAAACACUCACUACUGAGGACAAGGAUCUCUAAUUGAACCUUGGGAAUGAGGACAAUGAGGCAAGGGGAGAAGCUGGAUCACACCUAUGAGGCUAUACCCAACAGGUGAAAUUUACAGCAGUCCCCAGGCUGUUCUAAGCUGUGUCCAUGGCUGGGGCCAAGACAGAAUCAGGGAUCAGAAGUCAGCUCCUUGACAGCCCAUCUGUCUGCUGAGCCCAGCAUAAGUUGGAUGCAGCACAGAAUCUGGGCCCGUAAUAUGCAAUACAUAUAUUGCAUGAUAGAGCAACUCUCUCUUUGCUAAUUGUAGAUGUUUUUCUUAAUACUUUAGAGCUGGAAUUAAAAAAAAACAAUUCAAUUAAUUUUGAGGUUAAACGAAUGCCAACACGUUUUUGUUUUCUAAAACCACUCCUCCCACUCUUCUUUUCUUUCAGUAAUAAAAAAGCCAAAACGCAUCAAUGCUGCAAUAAAGGAAGAAUAAGGGUGAAAUUCACCCCAAUUCAGAGGGCCUGCCCGUAUUCCUACUUUCUUGGUACUGGUGCAUUUUUGUCCUGAUAUAACUGGGCAAAAUAAUCGUAAUUAA